GUGCUCGCUUCGGCAGCACAUAUACUAAAAUUGGAAUGAUACAGAGAAGAUAAGCAUGGCCCCUGCACAAGAAUGACACACAAAUGUGUGAAGCAUUCCAUAUUUUA